GUGAGCGCCCGCCUCUGGAGGACAUGCGCCGGGGACUCGACACGUGAUCCGCUCGCCACAAUCCAGUAUGGCGGAAUCCGUCGGCGAGUGGAUCCGUGGUUGGCGCGCUCUCCAACGGGAAUAAAGUCCGGAGCGUUGCAUCCGAUCGCGGCGGAGCUGCGGAGAGGGUACAUAAUUAACAGUGCUGGAUGACUCAUGGAGAUUGGCAGAUUGCACCGUUUGCCGCAUCUGUGGCUGAAGAGGAAAGAGAGGGAGAAUUUGGCUCUAGCCGCUCUUACAUGAUACUUAGCAAGGAAAAGCUCUAACAGGAGACGGGGCGUAACUGUAGGAGUUCAAUCUUAUCGAGCAAAGAGGAACCGACACACAGAGCUGGAUUACGGCCAGAGGGGGCGCUAUGGGCCUCUGAGAUUGUCCUUUCUUUCCUGUCCCGUGCCUCUUUUGACUCGUCUUCCCAUUCAGCAGUGGAUGGUGACCAGCCAACAAGCCCCAGAGGA